GACGAACGCUGGCGGCGUGCCUAAUACAUGCAAGUCGAGCGAGACUCUUCGGAGUCUAGCGGCGGACGGGUGAGUAACACGUGGGCAACCUGCCUGUAAGACUGGGAUAACACCGGGAAACCGGUGCUAAUACCGGAUAAUCCUUUUCUUCUCAUGAGGAAAAGCUGAAAGUCGGUUUCGGCUGACACUUACAGAUGGGCCCGCGGCGCAUUAGCUAGUUGGUGAGGUAACGGCUCACCAAGGCGACGAUGCGUAGCCGACCUGAGAGGGUGAUCGGCCACACUGGGACUGAGACACGGCCCAGACUCCUACGGGAGGCAGCAGUAGGGAAUCUUCCACAAUGGACGAAAGUCUGAUGGAGCAACGCCGCGUGAGCGAUGAAGGCCUUCGGGUCGUAAAGCUCUGUUGUUAGGGAAGAACAAGUGCCGGAGUAACUGCCGGUACCUUGACGGUACCUAACCAGAAAGCCACGGCUAACUACGUGCCAGCCGCCGCGGUAAGAC
rnacentral:rRNA from 1 species